rnacentral:rRNA from 1 species
AGGGUGCAGGGCGGAUGCCUUGGCACUAGGAGCCGAUGAAGGACGUGAUAAGCUGCGAUAAGCUUCGGGGAGUUGCACGUAAACUUUGAUCCGAAGAUUUCCGAAUGAGGAAACUCACUUAGAGUAAUGUCUAAGUAUCAUUAAGUGAAUACAUAGCUUAAUGAGGGGAACUCAGGGAACUGAAACAUCUAAGUACCUGAAGGAAGAGAAAGAAAUUCGAUUCCGUAAGUAGCGGCGAGCGAACGCGGAUUAGCCCAAACCAAUAAAGUUUUCUUUAUUGGGGUUGCGGACAUAUCAUAACGAAGAGGUAUCGUAAUUGAAGAGGUUUGGAAAGACCCACCACAGAAGGUAAUAGUCCUGUAUGUUAAACGAGAAGACUUCAGAUAUGAUCCAGAGUACCACGGGACACGUGAAACCCUGUGGGAAGCAGGAGGGACCACCCUCCAAGGCUAAAUACUACCUAGUGACCGAUAGCGUAUAGUACCGUGAGGGAAAGGUGAAAAGAACCCCGGGAGGGGAGUGAAAUAGAACCUGAAACCCUGCACUUACAAGCUGUGGAAGCACAUUUCUUGUGUGACCGCGUACUUUUUGUAGAACGGGCCAACGAGUUACGUUAAGUAGCAAGGUUAAGCACUUAAGGUGCGGAGCCGUAGCGAAAGCGAGUUUUAACUGAGCGUUCAGUUACUUGACGUAGACCCGAAACCGGGCGACCUACCCAUGAGCAGGAUGAAGCGAAAGUAAAAUUUCGUGGAGGUCCGAACCCACGAGCGUUGAAAAGCUCGGGGAUGACUUGUGGGUAGCGGUGAAAUUCCAAUCGAGCCCGGAGAUAGCUGGUUCUCCCCGAAAUAGCUUUAGGGCUAGCCUCAAGGUGAGAGAUACGGAGGUAGAGCACUGAAUGUCCUAGGGGGUAUUGCACCUACCGAAGACUAUCAAACUCCGAAUGCCGUCAUCUUAUACUUGGGAGUCAGACUGUGGGUGAUAAGAUUCAUAGUCGAAAGGGCAACAGCCCAGAUCGUCAGCUAAGGUCCCUAAAUGUAAGUUAAGUGGUAAAGGAUGUGGGAUUGCACAGACAACCAGGAUGUUGGCUUAGAAGCAGCCACUCAUUCAAAGAGUGCGUAAUAGCUCACUGGUCGAGUGAUCCUGCGCCGAAGAUUUCCGGGGCUAAAACUUACUACCGAAGCUACGGCAUCAGUAAUGAUGGGUAGGGGAGCUUCCCAUACGGGUUGAAGCAUGACCGUAAGGACAUGUGGACAGUAUGGGAGUGAGAAUGUUGGCAUGAGUAGCGAGAUGUGGGUGAGAAUCCCACAGGCCGUAAACCCAAGGUUUCCAGGGGAAGGUUCGUCCGCCCUGGGUUAGUCGGGACCUAAGCUGAGGCCGAAAGGCGUAGGUGAUGGACAACAGGUUGAUAUUCCUGUACUACCGAUAACCGUUUGAGAGAAGGGAUGACACAGUAGGAUAAGCUAAGCACACUGUUGGUUAUGUGUGCCCAAGCAUUGAGGCGGUCAAAGUAGGCAAAUCCGCUUUGAUAAUGCUGGGAUGUGAUGGGGAGCGAAAUUUAGUAGCGAAGUAGCUGAUUUCACACUGUCAAGAAAAGUCUCUAUCGAGGUUAAAGGUACCCGUACCGCAAACCGACACAGGUGGGUGAGGAGAGUAUCCUAAGGCCAGCGAGAGAACUGUUGUUAAGGAACUCGGCAAAAUGACCCCGUAACUUAGGGAUAAGGGGUGCCACCAUCAGGUGGCCGCAGAGAAUAGGCCCAAGCGACUGUUUACCAAAAACAUAGGUUUCUGCUAAGUCGCAAGACGAUGUAUAGGAGCUGACGCCUGCCCGGUGCUGGAAGGUUAAGGGGAUCUGUUAGAGCAAUCGAAGCAGUGAACUUAAGCCCCAGUAAACGGCGGCCGUAACUAUAACGGUCCUAAGGUAGCGAAAUUCCUUGUCGGGUAAGUUCCGACCCGCACGAAAGGCGUAACGAUUUGGGCACUGUCUCAACAACAGACUCGGUGAAAUUGUAAUUCCGGUGAAGAUGCCGGAUACCUGCGACAGGACGGAAAGACCCCAUGGAGCUUUACUGUAGCUUGACAUUGGGUCUUGGUACUACAUGUACAGGAUAGGUGGGAGGCUUUGAAACCAGGACGCCAGUUUUGGCGGAGCCAUCCUUGGGAUACCACCCUUGUAGUACUGGGACUCUAACCAUAGGCCAUGAAUCUGGUCUUGGGACACUGUCAGGUGGGCAGUUUGACUGGGGCGGUCGCCUCCCAAAAGGUAACGGAGGCGCUCAAAGGUUCUCUCAGUACGGUCGGAAAUCGUACGUAGAGUGUAAAGGCAAAAGAGAGCUUGAUUGCAAGACAUACAGGUCGAGCAAGGAUGAAAAUCGGACUUAGUGAUCCGGUGGUUCUGCGUGGAAGGGCCAUCGCUCAACGGAUAAAAGCUACCCUGGGGAUAACAGGCUUAUCUCCCCCAAGAGUCCACAUCGACGGGGAGGUUUGGCACCUCGAUGUCGGCUCAUCACAUCCUGGGGCUGUAGUAGGUCCCAAGGGUUGGGCUGUUCGCCCAUUAAAGUGGUACGCGAGCUGGGUUCAGAACGUCGUGAGACAGUUCGGUCCCUAUCCGUCGCAGGCGUAGGAAAUUUGAGAAGACCUGUCCUUAGUACGAGAGGACCGGGAUGGACGUACCUCUGGUGUACCAGUUGU